UGGGGAAUAUUGCACAAUGGACGGAAGUCUGAUGCAGCGACGCCGCGUGGGGGAUGAAGGCUUUCGGGUUGUAAACUCCUUUCAGUACAGAAGAAGCUUUAUUGUGACGGUAUGUGCAGAAGAAGCGCCGGCUAACUACGUGCCAGCAGCCGCGGUAAUACGUAGGGCGCGAGCGUUGUCCGGAAUCACUGGGCGUAAAGGGUUCGCAGGCGGAAAUGCAAGUCAGGUGUAAAAGGCAGUAGCUUAACUACUGUAAGCAUUUGAAACUGCAUAUCUUGAGAAGAGUAGAGGUAAGUGGAAUUUUUAGUGUAGCGGUGAAAUGCGUAGAUAUUAAAAAGAAUACCGGUGGCGAAGGCGACUUACUGGGCUCAUUCUGACGCUGAGGAACGAAAGCGUGGGUAGCAAACAGG
rnacentral:rRNA from 1 species